rnacentral:misc_RNA from 1 species
UACGGAAGAUCCAAGCGUUAUCCGGAUUUAUUGGGUUUAAAGGGUGCGUAGGCGGCUUAUUAAGUCAGGGGUGAAAGACGGUGGCUCAACCAUCGCAGUGCCCUUGAUACUGAUGAGCUUGAAUACGCUAGAGGUAGGCGGAAUGAGACAAGUAGCGGUGAAAUGCAUAGAUAUGUCACAGAACACCGAUUGCGAAGGCAGCUUACUAAGGUGUCAAUGACGCUGAGGCACGAAAGCGUGGGGAUCAAACAGG